rnacentral:rRNA from 1 species
GAUGAACGCUGGCGGCGUGCCUAAUACAUGCAAGUAGAACGCUGAAGGAGGAGCUUGCUCUUAUGGAUGAGUUGCGAACGGGUGAGUAACGCGUAGGUAACCUGCCUGGUAGCGGGGGAUAACUAUUGGAAACGAUAGCUAAUACCGCAUGACAACAGUUAUUGCAUGAUAACUGUUUAAAAGGGGCAACUGCUCCACUACCAGCUGGACCUGCGUUGUAUUAGCUAUUUGGUGAGGUAACGGCUCACCAAGGCGACGAUACAUCUCCGAGCUGAGAGGGGGAUCGGCCACACUGGGACUGAGACACGGCCCAGACUCCUACGGGAGGCAGCAGGAGGGAAACUUCGGCAAUGGACGGAAGUCUGACCGAGCAACGCCGCGGGAGGGAAGAAGGUUUUCGGAUCGUAAAGCUCUGUUGUAAGGGAAGAACGAGUGUGAGAGUGGAAAGUUCACACUGUGACGGUAUCUUACCAGAAAGGGACGGCUAACUACGUG